GAUGAACGCUGGUGGCGUGCCUAAUACAUGCAAGUCGAGCGAACGGACGAGAAGCUUGCUUCUCUGAUGUUAGCGGCGGACGGGUGAGUAACACGUGGAUAACCUACCUAUAAGACUGGGAUAACUUCGGGAAACCGGAGCUAAUACCGGAUGAUAUUUUGAACCGCAUGGUUCAAAAGUGAAAGACGGUCUUGCUGUCACUUAUAGAUGGAUCCGCGCUGCAUUAGCUAGUUGGUAAGGUAACGGCUUACCAAGGCAACGAUGCAUAGCCGACCUGAGAGGGGGAUCGGCCACACUGGAACGGAGACACGGUCCAGAGUCCUACGGGAGGCAGCAGUAGGGAAUCUGCCGCAAUGGGCGAAAGCCUGACGGAGCAACGCCGCGUGAGUGAUGAAGGUCUUCGGGUCGUAAAACUCGGUUAUUAGGGAAGAACAUAUGUGUAAGUAACUGUGCACAUCUUGACGGUACCUAAUCAGAAAGCCACGGCUAACUACGUG
rnacentral:rRNA from 1 species